rnacentral:rRNA from 1 species
GCGCGAAAACUUUACAAUGCGGGCAACCGCGAUAAGGGGACCUCGAGUGCUGGGUUACAAACCUGGCUGUUGGGCUGCCUAAAAAGCAGUCUAUAGCAAGGGCCGGGCAAGACCGGUGCCAGCCGCCGCGGUAACACCGGCGGCUCGAGUGGUAACCGCUAUUAUUGGGUCUAAAGGGUCUGUAGCCGGCCGACUAAGUCUCUUGGGAAAUCUGGCAUCUCAAGUGUCAGGCUGCCAGGGGAUACUGGUCGGCUUGGGACCGGGAGAGGUGAGAGGUACCUCGGGGGUAGGGGUGAAAUCUUGUAAUCCUCGAGGGACCACCAGUGGCGAAGGCGUCUCACCAGAACGGAUCCGACGGCAAGGGACGAAAGCUAGGGGCACGAACCGGAUUAGAUACCCGGGUAGUCCUAGCCGUAAACGAUACUCGCUAGGUGUCGGCCACGGUGCGACCGUGGUCGGUGCCGUAGGGAAGCCGUGAAGCGAGCCACCUGGGAAGUACGGCCGCAAGGCUGAAACUUAAAGGAAUUGGCGGGGGAGCACUACAACGGGUGGAGCCUGCGGUUUAAUUGGAUUCAACGCCGGAAAGCUUACCGGGGGCGACAGCAAUAUGAAGGUCAGGCUGAAGACCUUACCCGAUUCGCU